rnacentral:tRNA from 1 species
GCAUUGGUGGCUCAGUGGUAGAGUGCUCGCCUGCCCCGCGUGCGACCCGGGUUCGAUUCCCGGCCAAUGCA